AAGAGGGAAAUAGAAGAAACAAGAACCUGGGAGUCAGUUGUGAAUUUAAAGCUGCCGAUGGCACAGCACAGGAGCAGAUUCUGCUGCACACUGAUGCAUCUCACAGUCAGGAGGGUCAGUCACAGGAGGACAGUCAUGUAGAGAUCCUAGACAGCGAGAGAGGAGGUGGUUCAAAAAAGUCUAUGUCAUGCUGGAACAAACAUACCUGAACGGGUCGACACGGCUUGUCAGCUACUUACAUUCACACUCUAACAUCUCUAACCCAGCAGUUUCACUUCAAUUCACACUCUGCAGCGGCUGUGACAGACAGGAUCAACCCUGGGAAGACCCGCCAUUCACAACUUCAGUUAAGUGAUUUAAAGCAGUUAAUGUGUGAAGGACCUUUAAAUAAAGACUACAUCAUGAGGGACAGAUGGGCGGAAAUUUUAGGGGAAA
ensembl:processed_transcript